UACGUAUGGUGCAAGCGUUAUCCGGAUUUACUGGGUGUAAAGGGAGUGUAGGCGGCAGAUUAAGUCUGAUGUGAAAACCCAAGGCUCAACCAUGGGAUUGCAUUGGAAACUGGUCAGCUAGAGUGUCGGAGAGGUAAGUGGAAUUCCUAGUGUAGCGGUGAAAUGCGUAGAUAUUAGGAGGAACACCAGUGGCGAAGGCGGCUUACUGGACGAUUACUGACGCUGAGGCUCGAAAGCGUGGGGAGCAAAC
rnacentral:rRNA from 1 species